GGUUAAGCGACUAAGCGUACACGGUGGAUGCCCUGGCAGUCAGAGGCGAUGAAGGACGUGCUAAUCUGCGAAAAGCGUCGGUAAGGUGAUAUGAACCGUUAUAACCGGCGAUGUCCGAAUGGGGAAACCCAGUGCAAUUCGUUGCACUAUCGUUAACUGAAUACAUAGGUUAACGAGGCGAACCGGGGAACUGAAACAUCUAAGUACCCCGAGGAAAAGAAAUCAACCGAGAUUCCCCCAGUAGCGGCGAGCGAACGGGGAGCAGCCCAGAGUCUGAAUCAGCUUGUGUGUUAGUGGAACGGUCUGGAAAGUCCGACGGUACAGGGUGAUAGUCCCGUACACCAAAAUGCACAGGUUGUGAACUCGAAGAGUAGGGCGGGACACGUGGUAUCCUGUCUGAAUAUGGGGGGACCAUCCUCCAAGGCUAAAUACUCCUGACUGACCGAUAGUGAACCAGUACCGUGAGGGAAAGGCGAAAAGAACCCCGGCGAGGGGAGUGAAAAAGAACCUGAAACCGUGUACGUACAAGCAGUGGGAGCACCUUCGGGUGUGACUGCGUACCUUUUGUAUAAUGGGUCAGCGACUUAUAUUCUGUAGCAAGGUUAACCGUAUAGGGGAGCCGCAGGGAAACCGAGUCUUAACUGGGCGUUAAGUUGCAGGGUAUAGACCCGAAACCCGGUGAUCUAGCCAUGGGCAGGUUGAAGGUUGGGUAACACUAACUGGAGGACCGAACCGACUAAUGUUGAAAAAUUAGCGGAUGACUUGUGGCUGGGGGUGAAAGGCCAAUCAAACCGGGAGAUAGCUGGUUCUCCCCGAAAGCUAUUUAGGUAGCGCCUCGUGAACUCAUCUUCGGGGGUAGAGCACUGUUUCGGCUAGGGGGUCAUCCCGACUUACCAACCCGAUGCAAACUACGAAUACCGAAGAAUGUUAUCACGGGAGACACACGGCGGGUGCUAACGUCCGUCGUGAAGAGGGAAACAACCCAGACCGCCAGCUAAGGUCCCAAAGUCAUGGUUAAGUGGGAAACGAUGUGGGAAGGCACAGACAGCCAGGAUGUUGGCUUAGAAGCAGCCAUCAUUUAAAGAAAGCGUAAUAGCUCACUGGUCGAGUCGGCCUGCGCGGAAGAUGUAACGGGGCUAAACCAUGCACCGAAGCUGCGGCAGCGACACUAUGUGUUGUUGGGUAGGGGAGCGUUCUGUAAGCCUGCGAAGGUGACCUGUGAGGGUUGCUGGAGGUAUCAGAAGUGCGAAUGCUGACAUAAGUAACGAUAAAGCGGGUGAAAAGCCCGCUCGCCGGAAGACCAAGGGUUCCUGUCCAACGUUAAUCGGGGCAGGGUGAGUCGACCCCUAAGGCGAGGCCGAAAGGCGUAGUCGAUGGGAAACAGGUUAAUAUUCCUGUACUUGGUGUUACUGCGAAGGGGGGACGGAGAAGGCUAUGUUAGCCGGGCGACGGUUGUCCCGGUUUAAGCAUGUAGGCUGGUUGUCCAGGCAAAUCCGGAUAAUCAAGGCUGAGGUGUGAUGACGAGGCACUACGGUGCUGAAGUAACAAAUGCCCUGCUUCCAGGAAAAGCCUCUAAGCAUCAGGUAACAUCAAAUCGUACCCCAAACCGACACAGGUGGUCAGGUAGAGAAUACCAAGGCGCUUGAGAGAACUCGGGUGAAGGAACUAGGCAAAAUGGUGCCGUAACUUCGGGAGAAGGCACGCUGGUGUGUAGGUGAAGUCCCUGCGGAUGGAGCUGAGACCAGUCGAAGAUACCAGCUGGCUGCAACUGUUUAUUAAAAACACAGCACUGUGCAAACACGAAAGUGGACGUAUACGGUGUGACGCCUGCCCGGUGCCGGAAGGUUAAUUGAUGGGGUUAUCCGUAAGGAGAAGCUCUUGAUCGAAGCCCCGGUAAACGGCGGCCGUAACUAUAACGGUCCUAAGGUAGCGAAAUUCCUUGUCGGGUAAGUUCCGACCUGCACGAAUGGCGUAAUGAUGGCCAGGCUGUCUCCACCCGAGACUCAGUGAAAUUGAACUCGCUGUGAAGAUGCAGUGUACCCGCGGCAAGACGGAAAGACCCCGUGAACCUUUACUAUAGCUUGACACUGAACAUUGAGCCUUGAUGUGUAGGAUAGGUGGGAGGCUUUGAAGCGUGGACGCCAGUCUGCGUGGAGCCAACCUUGAAAUACCACCCUUUAAUGUUUGAUGUUCUAACGUUGGCCCCUUACCGGGGUUGCGGACAGUGUCUGGUGGGUAGUUUGACUGGGGCGGUCUCCUCCCAAAGCGUAACGGAGGAGCACGAAGGUUAGCUAAUCCUGGUCGGACAUCAGGAGGUUAGUGCAAUGGCAUAAGCUAGCUUGACUGCGAGCGUGACGGCGCGAGCAGGUGCGAAAGCAGGUCAUAGUGAUCCGGUGGUUCUGAAUGGAAGGGCCAUCGCUCAACGGAUAAAAGGUACUCCGGGGAUAACAGGCUGAUACCGCCCAAGAGUUCAUAUCGACGGCGGUGUUUGGCACCUCGAUGUCGGCUCAUCACAUCCUGGGGCUGAAGUAGGUCCCAAGGGUAUGGCUGUUCGCCAUUUAAAGUGGUACGCGAGCUGGGUUUAGAACGUCGUGAGACAGUUCGGUCCCUAUCUGCCGUGGGCGCUGGAGAAUUGAGGGGGCUGCUCCUAGUACGAGAGGACCGGAGUGGACGCAUCACUGGUGUUCGGGUUGUCAUGCCAAUGGCACUGCCCGGUAGCUAAAUGCGGAAGAGAUAAGUGCUGAAAGCAUCUAAGCACGAAACUUGCCCCGAGAUGAGUUCUCCCUGAGACUUUAAGUCUCCUGAAGGAACGUUAAAGACGAUGACGUUGAUAGGCCGGGUGUGUAAGCGCAGCGAUGCGUUGAGCUAACCGGUACUAAUGAACCGUGAGGCUUAACCUU
rnacentral:rRNA from 1 species